GUUUUUCUACUACUUGCAUGAUUUCCUCUACACCAACAUAUGGUAUCGGUAAAUAUAAACCUGUUAUGUCAGAUCAAAAAGACUGGUUCUGAUUCAAUUCAGAUUUCAUGGUAAAAACUAACAAUAUAUUUAAUUGCACAAGGGGUUCACAUACUAAGAUCUCGACUAAGAUCUCCUCUGCAAAACAUGUCAAAAUGAAUGACAGAGAUCUUGAGUUAUCAUAGAUUCAUCGUGACUAUUUUGAGAAAGUGUAUUUGCAUUUUUAUAUUUGUAUUCAUUAUGGAUCCCCAUUAGCUGCCAUCAAGGCAGCAGCUACUCUUCCUGGGGUCUGGGAAAAUGAAGAAGAACAACAACAACAAGAAGGAAGAAGAACAUACUUUGAACAGAUAGAUUGGUUACCUGCUGGGCGUUUCUGAGUCAAGGUCAUACAGGGUCAUCAGCCAGGAAGAAGAAAAAGAAGAGGCUUUGCAGCCGUUAAAGAAGUAAAACGAAGACACUGGAGUGAGCCAGUCAUCUCCAAACAGUGAGAGCUUCAAAAUGCAUUGUGACGCUCCAUUGGACAUGCGACUCAUCCUCCACCACCACCAGGAGGGAAACUGAAUCUCCUGCAUGACAAUACUCCUGGGCUCCUCACUCUAGUCUCUCUACGCUUCACUCUCAGAGCUUUUCUCAUAUUUUCCUUCGCCGGCCUUCUCUUUCUUUCUGCCUCUCUCUGUCUCUGAAAAUAUGACAUAUGAAAAUAUAUGAUCUUUUCCAGACCAUCAUUCUGUAGAACACAUUUCAAUGAGAGUAGAAACAUCAGGAGCAUCACUUGGGAAUCUAUGCCAUUUGUGGAGCCUCCUACAUUAUCUCUCUCACAACUGCCGAUGUGUCUUUUCUAUGUGUUAUCUCACACAAGGCAGGAGGUGAAUCUCUAUGCAAGUAGGCUAGAUACCAACAAAAACAGGCACAAUCUCAAGUCCCAAUCGCAACACUAAGGUUGUGUUGAAAAUGUGAAUACAGAUCUACCAUCUGUUUUCUGGCUUCCACUUUGCUAGAUCUAAAUGAAAGCAUUACGUUUAUUAUGAUGCAUUACCUUUAAGUGCCACCCAUUGUGACAACAGAUGGGAGUGUUUCAAUGAUUCAAGAAGGCUUUACUGCCUCAAUGUUACAAUAUUGGUAUUACUGACCAUUCUUAAAUUCCCUCACAUUCUCACAAUUAUGAGGAAUUAUUCAAUUGUCUGUGUCUUAAAUACAACCUGUAUUAAAGUCAUUAUAGUGCCAUUAUAUUGCUUAUACAGUCUUGGAACCUCAGUUUUUAUAAAUGCAUUCAGUGUAGGACCACCAACAAGUACAAUACCCUAAUUAGCUAUCAUAAGCAACAUGAGGAAUAUACAGACAAUUAACUCACCACUGUGUGCCUAUGACAUUUAAUGUGAUCCACCUCAUAUUGCUAGGCAUUGACUAAAUGCCAUGCAAGUGUGUGUUACAUGUAUUGAUCUUUUCUAACUAUUAGGCCUCCUGUGAUUUUCCUCUUGCUCAUACCUUUGGAAAUUCCAUGUUUAAAUACAUAGUGUUCAACUCUGCUUCUUGUUUAAAUAUGUUAUGAUACUGUAUUAGCGCUAGUGAAAUAGGCAGUGUGUCCGUUGCUGCACAUACACAUGAUAAGUCACACACUACACAUACACAUGGAUGUUGUAUUGUACAUAUGUGAUAGAAGAGUUGUCACAACCUCCCCCGAUGUCGGCUCCUCUGCUUGUUCGGGCGGCGUUCGGUGAUCGACGUCACCGGCUUUCUAGCCAUCGCCGCUCCAUUUUUCAUCUAUCCAUUUGUUUUGUCUUGUUUUCAUACACACCUGGUUAUCAUUUCCCGAAUCAAUCUACUUGUAUUUAACCCUCUGUUUGCCAUCAUGUUUGUCACGUUCUGACCUUAGUUCCUUUGUUUUUGUCUGUGUUUUUGUAUGGUCAGGGCGUGAGUUGGGGUGGCCAGUCUAUGUUUGUUUUUCUAUGUUGGGUUUUGAGUUCGGCCUAGUAUGGUUCUCAAUCAGAGGCAGCUGUCAAUUGUUGUCCCUGAUUGAGAAUCAUACUUAGGUAGCCUGGGUUUCACUUUUGGUUUGUGGGUGUUUGUUUCCAUGUGAGUGUUUGGGCCACACGGUACUGUUUCGGUUUUGGUAAAUUCACCUUGUCAUUUAUUGUUUAGUGUUCAGAGUUUUAAUUAAACAUCAUCAUGAACACUUACCACGCUGCGCUUUGGUCCGACCCUUCUUCCACCUCUGAAUGCCGUUACAAUGUUUUGUGUGUAAUUGUUUUCAUGUCUAGUGAUGUUCCUUUAGCGCUUUACUUUAUUAUUCUGUUUUUUGAGCGCGUUUGUUUUGUUGUGCUCCCGGUUUGGAACUAUAAUAAAGUGUG